AGAGUUUGAUCAUGGCUCAGGACGAACGCUGGCGGCGUGCCUAAUACAUGCAAGUCGAGCGGAGUUGUUCCUUCGGGAACAACUUAGCGGCGGACGGGUGAGUAACACGUGGGCAACCUGCCUCUAAGGUUGGGAUAACUGUCGGAAACGGCAGCUAAUACCGAAUAAUUGGUUUCUCCGCAUGGAGAGAUUAUGAAAGG
rnacentral:rRNA from 1 species